AGAGUUUGAUCCUGGCUCAGGACGAACGCUGGCGGCGUGCUUAACACAUGCAAGUCGAGCGGAAAGGCCCUUCGGGGUACUCGAGCGGCGAACGGGUGAGUAACACGUGAGCAACCUGCCCCAGGCUUUGGGAUAACCCCGGGAAACCGGGCUAAUACCGAAUAGGACCUGGCCUCGCAUGAGGCUGGGUGGAAAGUUUUUCGGCUUGGGAUGGGCUCGCGGCCUAUCAGCUUGUUGGUGGGGUGAUGGCCUACCAAGGCGACGACGGGUAGCCGGCCUGAGAGGGCGACCGGCCACACUGGGACUGAGACACGGCCCAGACUCCUACGGGAGGCAGCAGUGGGGAAUAUUGCACAAUGGGCGGAAGCCUGAUGCAGCGACGCCGCGUGAGGGAUGACGGCCUUCGGGUUGUAAACCUCUUUCAGCAGGGACGAAGCGUAGGUGACGGUACCUGCAGAAGAAGCGCCGGCCAACUACGUG
rnacentral:rRNA from 1 species